rnacentral:rRNA from 1 species
UCUGUUUGAUCCUGGCUCAGAUUGAACGCUGGCGGCAGGCCUAACACAUGCAAGUCGAGCGGAAACACAAGGGAGCUUGCUCCUGAGGUGUCGAGCGGCGGACGGGUGAGUAAUGCUUGGGAAACUGCCCAGUCGUGGGGGACAACCAUUGGAAACGAUGGCUAAUACCGCAUACGCCCUACGGGGGAAAGAAGGGGACUCUUCGGAGCCUUUCGCGAUUGGAUGUGCCCAAGUGGGAUUAGCUAGUUGGUGAGGUAAGAGCUCACCAAGGCGACGAUCCCUAGCUGGUCUGAGAGGAUGAUCAGCCACACUGGAACUGAGACACGGUCCAGACUCCUACGGGAGGCAGCAGUGGGGAAUAUUGCACAAUGGAGGAAACUCUGAUGCAGCCAUGCCGCGUGUAUGAAGAAGGCCUUCGGGUUGUAAAGUACUUUCAGCGAGGAGGAAAGGUUAGUAGUUAAUAACUGCUAGCUGUGACGUUACUCGCAGAAGAAGGACCGGCUAACUCCGUGCCAGCAGCCGCGGUAAUACGGAGGGUCCGAGCGUUAAUCGGAAUUACUGGGCGUAAAGCGUACGCAGGCGGUUUGUUAAGCGAGAUGUGAAAGCCCCGGGCUCAACCUGGGAACUGCAUUUCGAACUGACAAACUAGAGUUUUGUAGAGGGUGGUAGAAUUUCAGGUGUAGCGGUGAAAUGCGUAGAGAUCUGAAGGAAUACCAGUGGCGAAGGCGGCCACCUGGCAAGUAACUGACGCUCAGAUGCGAAAGCGUGGGUAGCAAACGGGAUUAGAUACCCCGGUAGUCCACGCCGUAAA